AACAUUAUGCUGUGUCCUCAUCCUUCUUAUUUACUGGACCUGGUACCAUGAGACUCCUGGCUCUUUCCCAAAGUUGAAAUGACCACGAAAGGGAAACAUUUUGAAGACACUCACAAAAGAAGACUCCAGAACUGGUUCAGAAGGUGGUAAGAACCAUGGGAUCAGUGUAUCUGAAGCCAGAGGAGGAUUGUGAAGGGGACUCAUGGUGGGAUAUCUAUCAUCUGUCUAUCUGGAACCUAUGAAAGAAUAAAGCUGAAACUAAUGAGCACUGUUACCCUUGAGGGCAAGGGGCAACUUUGGAAACGCAUGAGAGGCUGAAGAUGAUUCUCGUGGCUGUACAGAAGAUGACCUGCAGCAAGAAGAAGCUGGCAGCUGGAACAUCUACCAGAAAAGUUGUCCAAAGUUAGAGAAAAGAUGACAAGGGUCUAAGUAAAAGCAGAAGCAGUGGGCGAGAAAUAGAAAAGCUGAGGAGGUAAGCUGACCAACCAGAUGGAAGUAAUUUAAAAAAUUCCAGAGUAAGACUUAAAUUUCUGAUUUGGGCAACUAUUAUGGCAACAUUAGAGAAAAGAGGAGGUAGCCUGGUUCCAGGAUGGAGGACAUGGUCACAUUCAUUUGCAGGGAGUUGGAGGAGUCUGAGGGCCAUUCAGGCAAAGAUGUCGAGUCAACAGCUGGAAAUACAAUCCAGGCACUCAGGAGACAUGAAGAUUAUGGGUGUUUGCUGAAGGAAAUGAGAUUGCUUAGAAUACCAAGGGCAAAAUUAGAAGAAAAUGUCCCAGGAGAAAAUCCCGGAACCAACAGUUAAACUAGAAGAAGAGACAGUAAAGGACACAGUAGAAAUAAAUGCAGGCCAGGCUGGGGAUUUAGCUCAGUGGUUCUGCCAUCUGCCUCAAAAGCACAAGGA